CCAGAGGGCCGGGCGGCCGCGGCUCGCGCAAGCGAGGCGAGGAAAGUCCGGGCUCCACGGAACGACGGUGCCGGGUAACGCCCGGCGGGUUUCGCUUCGGCGAGGCUCAGGGAAAGUGCCACAGAAAGAAUACCGCUCGUCCUUGGGCGGGUAAGGUCGAAAGGGUGCGGCAAGAGCGCACCGCGGGGGCGGCAACGUCACCGGCACGGAAAACCCCACCGGGAGCAAGACCGAAUAGGGGCGGCGAAGGGUCUUCGGACUCUGGGGCAAGUUCCGGCCCAGUCGCCCGGGUUGGUUGCUUGAGGGGCGGGGUAACUCGCCUCCUAGAGGAAUGGCCGCACAGACGCAGCAAUGCGUUGGACAGAACCCGGCUUAUAGGCCCUCUGGCGAU
rnacentral:RNase_P_RNA from 1 species